ACGAACGCUGGCGGCGUGGCUAAGGCAUGCAAGUCGAGCGAACCUGACGGAAAGGCAACUGGAAGUCAGGUUAGCGGCGAACGGGUGAGGAAUUCAUGGAUAACGUACCCCGGACUCAGGGAUAGCGAUGCGAAAGUGUCGGUAAUACCUGAUGACCCCACAGGACCGCAUGGUCCCGCGGGCAAAGCUCCGACGGUCCGGGAGCGAUUCAUGUCCUAUCAGCUAGUUGGUGAGGUAACGGCUCACCAAGGCUACUACGGGUAUCGGGUGUGAGAGCACGACCCGACACAUCGGAACUGAGACACUGUCCGGACACCUACGGGUGGCUGCAGCAACGAAUAUUCCGCAAUGGACGCAAGUCUGACGGAGCGACGCCGCGUGCAGGAAGAAGUCCCUCGGGAUGUAAACUGCUGUCAGGGGCAAGGAACACAAUGACCAGCCCCGAAGGAAGCACCGGCUAACUCCGU
rnacentral:rRNA from 1 species